GACGAACGCUGGCGGCGUGCUUAACACAUGCAAGUCGAACGGAAAGGCCCCCUUGUGGGGUACUCGAGUGGCGAACGGGUGAGUAACACGUGAGUAACCUACCCUUGACUUUGGGAUAACUUCAGGAAACUGGGGCUAAUACCGGAUAGGAGCUCCUGCUGCAUGGUGGGGGUUGGAAAGUUUCGGCGGUUGGGGAUGGACUCGCGACUUAUCAGCUUGUUGGUGGGGUAGUGGCUCACCAAGGCUUUGACGGGUAGCCGGCCUGAGAGGGUGACCGGCCACAUUGGGACUGAGAUACGGCCCAGACUCCUACGGGAGGCAGCAGUGGGGAAUAUUGCACAAUGGGCGGAAGCCUGAUGCAGCAACGCCGCGUGCGGGAUGACGGCCUUCGGGUUGUAAACCGCUUUCGCCUGUGACGAAGCGUGAGUGACGGUAAUGGGUAAAGAAGCACCGGCUAACUACGUG
rnacentral:rRNA from 1 species